CUCAGGGAAUUGAUGGGUAAGAUCCCAUGGGAAGCAAGUCUAAAGGGAAAAGCAGUUCAAGAGCAUUGGCAGUUUUUUAUUAACACAUUAUUAAGGGCACAAGAGCAAACUAUCCCACUGCAUAGGAAAGAUAGGAAG